AGGAUUCCGCUGAAGGAGCGGCGAUCGUCCUAUCAGGUAGUUGGUGGGGUAAAGGCCUACCAAGCCGAAGACGGGUAGCGGGUGUGAGAGCAUGACCCGCCGCAUCGGGACUGAGACACUGCCCGGACUCCUACGGGAGGCUGCAGUAACGAAUCUUCCGCAAUGCGCGAAAGCGUGACGGAGCAAUGCCGCGUGUGGGACGAAGCGGUUACGCCGUGUAAACCACUGUCAGGGUCGAGGAAGAACUGACCAGACCCAGAGGAAGGGCCGGCUAAUCUCGUGCCAGCAGCCGCGGUAAUACGAGAGGCCCAAGCGUUAGGCGGAAUCACUGGGCUUAAAGGGUGCGUAGGCGGGCGUGCAAGCAUCGUGUGAAAUCCCUCGGCUCAACCGGGGAACCGCACAGUGAACUGCACGCCUUGAGGUAGGUAGGGGCGAUCGGAACGUUCGGCGGAGCAGUGAAAUGCGUAGAUAUCGAACGGAACGCCAAGAGUGAAGACAGAUCGCUGGGCCUUACCUGACGCUGAGGCACGAAAGCGUGGGGAGCAAACAGGAUUAGAUACCCUGGUAGUCCACGCUGUAAACGAUGAUCACUCGCUGUUGGCGAUACACUGUCAGUGGCCAAGCGAAAGCAUUAAGUGAUCCACCUGGGGAGUACGAUCGCAAGGUUGAAACUCAAAGGAAUUGACGGGGGCCCGCACAAGCGGUGGAGCAUGUGGUUUAAUUCGAUGAUACGCGAGGAACCUUACCAGGGCUUAAAUGUAGGAUGACAGACUAGGAAACUAGUCCUUCUUCGGACAGCCUACAAGGUGCUGCAUGGUUGUCGUCAGCUCGUGCUGUGAAGUGUCGGGUUAAGUCCCAUAACGAGCGCAACCCCUAUUCUUAGUUGCCAGCGAGUAAUGUCGGGGACUCUAAGGAAACUGCCGGUGUAAACCGUGAGGAAGGUGGGGAUGACGUCAAAUCAUCACGGCCCUUACGUCCUGGGCCACACACGUGCUACAAUGGUCGGUACAGAGGGCAGCUAUCUGGUGACAGAAUGCAAAUCUCGAAAGCCGAUCUCAGUUCGGAUUGUAGUCUGCAACUCGACUACAUGAAGCUGGAAUCGCUAGUAAUCGCGCAUCACGCCAUGGCGCGGUGAUACGUCCCGGGCAUUGUACACACCGCCCGUCAAGCCAUGGAAGCUGAGGGUGCCUGAA
rnacentral:rRNA from 1 species